rnacentral:tmRNA from 1 species
GGGGCCGACCGGAAUUGACAGCUUGAGCAGGCUGCGUGUAAGCAUGUCAGGAGUUGUACGUAUUUCCUGUAAAUAAAACGUUCACAACAAUAAAUGGCGAAGAAAACUACGCCCUUGCUGCUUAAUUAGGAUUAAUUUUCAGCAUGUGCCUCGCUGACCCCACGUGCUGCCGGGUUAGCAACUGAGGUAUCACAAUGCAGCGCUGGUUCUUACAAAGUUAUGGUGUAAGGACAAGAUAAAGUAACUAAGGAAUGGAUACGUUUGCUACUGACCUUUUCCAUUCCCGACAACCUGACAGUAGCUACACAUGUAGAAAGCGCGACAGUUUCCUUGUCUGGACGAGAGUUCGAAUCUCUCCGGCUCCACUU